GCUUGAGUCAGGUAGUCUUACAAAGGAAGGAACAGAACAGAAUGCUGCAUUCACAAUAUUCAUGAGAUAGGGAGCAAUACUGCUAUACAGUUCUUUUGUGCUAAAGUGGAAAGACACGCUAGAUACAAUUAAGGUUUGAACGAAUAAGAGGAACUUAAAAGACCUAACCUGGAAAUGGAGUGAUUGGCCAAUCGUGUCUUUCGUGGGCUGCAAACGAAAUUUGGGGAUCCGACUCUGUGUUUAAGAAUAUUGAAACAAUUUGAGCCACCUUGAUUAUGUCUCUUUAACAUAGGGAAGGAAGAGGGAAGACGAAACUUGAUCGCUGUUCUGUCAAGACUCUGCCACUCCGUUAGAGAGUUUUAACAUCUUUAGCAAAUGUCCAACUGCUGAAAAUUUCUAAAUUAUCCGAUAGAAAUAGAAAAUAGAAAAACAGCUUUCCCGAGCACUUCCUUUUUUCUGAUUUCUCCCUUUCUCUUAGUUUUUGCAACCGAAAUAUUUGUUUAGCGCUUUUUGUAAGUAAAUGAAUUUUGAGAAUAGUUGUGGUUAGUGGCCUCUCAUCAGUUUAUAGGCGUCGUAACUGUCACGAACUCACAUGUGCGAAAACAUUAGUCAACAUGUUGUGUUGCACAUUUAGAAAAUUUUGAGUGAUUAGAGCAAAGAAUUCGUGCGAGACAGCAAGUUACGUGAAAUGGUCAUGUAAUGUGAUAUUAAUGAAUAAAGGCUGAUAGUUUCAA